GUUGGGAGACGGUAUCCUAUGGGUCUGAAGACAGUCCUUCUUUAACACAGAACACUGGGCUCGCUGGUGAUCCCGAACUAGCGCCACAUAUGCUCUGCUAACCUCGCUGUCUGUUGCAUUAGGAGGUGCUUUGGGAUGCUGUUGCAUGUUCCCCUGAAUGGAUGGCUUCUCUUCAAACCCAACAGCCUUCAGGCUGCCACCAGGGGGCAGUCUGUACAUAUUUGUUAUGAAAUAUAUACAAUUUAAAUACACGCAAUGACAGGAUUUUGGGCAGGAUAAAAUAGUUUCCCAAGUUCUGGGGAGGUUCUGAAGUCAAAGUCUCAGGCUGUGAUGUGAUUUGUAUUGAAAGAAAUGUUUCGAUGUGGUCAACAAGGAGGUUAAAGCGCAACGGCAAAGGUUUUUCUCCUGUGAAUAAGUUGCCUAAGUCCAUUUAUCCCCAGGAGAUUCCAGACGCUGUGUAAGAGUGAUGGGUCUGGAAAUCCCUGGCAAAGGACCGCUCCUGUUCCAUGGAUCCGUCAAAGAAGCUGGUGACAAAGAACGUUCACACACAGCUGGUUUAACUGGAGAUCCUUCAUUUCUCAAAGCAGUGACUCGUUUAUUGUCCGCCUCGGUGGCGGGUGAGGACUCACACCUCAGCAGCCAACCAUACGGGCCGCAGCACUGAGCUUCUGGGAGGGGAGAUGAUGGAGGAAAUGUUGGGGUGCCCCGAGUGGCAGCGUGGCAGCAUGGCAGCGUGGCACGGACCGAGUGGGCUCUGGAGACAGAGAGGCUGCGAGGUGCCAUCUGCUGUGCCACUGGUGCACGCCGCUCAAUUUCCGCUUGAGAAUCGAUGGAGAUGGAGGCUACAAGGAUCGGCUCCUCUGGGUGGUUCACAACAAGAAAGGAAGUAGCUGUCGAACCUGAUGCUUUUCCUGUGCACAAGAUCCAUGUGAGCUGUGAUGUGCAAUGACUGCGAAGAGCGCCGGCGAUUUCAGUUCUGAUUUGACUCAUCACGCUGGCUGUUUGUAAAGCCCCUGGCACACAUUUACCGUUUUGUUAAUUCGUGUGAAGACCUCGAAUAAAAUUUUUAUC
rnacentral:lncRNA from 1 species